GUGUCAGUUGGAAGAUUCACCUGGUAAAAUGGGAGAAGACAGGCAAACUGAACCUGAGCACAGGCUGAGUGAGUUUCAUUCUCAAAUUCAGUAUAAAGAUUAAAGAAGAGAAUCCCCUUCAUGUCCUCUGAUCUCCACACUUCAUGCCUGUAGUGCCCAAUAAUAAACAAACAAACAAGCAUUAAGUAUCUUCCAUGAGGGCUAGCGAGAUGCUUUAGUGAUUAAGAACACGUACUGUUCUUGCAGAAGACCAGACUUUAGGUUCUAUCAUCUCAUCAGAUGGCUCACAACUGUGAAAGUGGAAGGAAGCCUCAAAGCAACAUCUGAGUUUGUCUUCUGACCUCCACAUCUGCCUGCUGUGUGCACAUCCACCUAUUGUUGGGAUGACAUUCCUUACUUGGUAUGAAGGUAUCUCUGGAUAAAAUGGCUAAGGGUCCUGGAAUGCCUACUGCACAACCAAUGUGUUAGCCAGUGUUACAGCCUGGUACAUCUAUCAAGAAACCCAUGUCCCAGAUGGAGGUAGAUGCAUGGAGCUUUCACAGGGCAGACGGGGGAGAGGCCCUUAACAAUAAGCAACAGGCACUGUUUAAAUUUGGCAUUUAACUCAGCCAAGAACAUAUGUACAUAAAGUUUAUCCCAGCCAGAUUAAACUCCUGAAGUCCUGCGGCACCAGUGCUCAGCAAGAUUGGUCACUGACUGAAACUUAGUUACUGACAUUGAAGAAGAACGAAGCAACAUGGAAUAAGCACUGAAGAAUCUAAUGGAUUUCAUACUUUGUUCUUUUCCUCAUGUUCCUGGGGAUGGAAUUCAAGCCUCAGGCUCUGUUUAUAUAUACACUUCCAUUUCUCACUCUCUCUGGAUCCCUUUCUUGUACUAUGACCUAAGAGGGCAGAGGAACUCAACAGUAGAAAUGACUAGGAAGAACAAUCUAGCAAUGAAUUAGGAGACUAAUUUCUUCAUCAAUAUUUUUGAUGACUAAUUCAAGCAUCAGUUCAACAAUCUCUCCAGGAAUUUAGCUGUCUAUAUUCAAUCCCACCUCUGAGACCCAUGAAAUUUCUCCUUAUAAGAAGAGGAACCACUUUUGUCCUUCUGAUGUGGUUUAUGGUCUGUAACGACUGCUCUCAUCCAUCCUGGCAAGCUACCAUUCUCCAUGCAGCUUCACAGGAAAUUGGAACUUUGGAGAAUUACUCCAAGAAAGCCAUAAAAUAUGAAGAGCUGUAAAGGAGCUGGAAACAACCAGAUGUUGCAAGAAAGAAGAAUGGAAACAGAAAAUGUGGUUCAAUUACACAA
rnacentral:lncRNA from 1 species